CGAAGUGAGGAGAUGGAGCAGUGGAGGGAUGCUGAUAAAUAUAGAGGAGAGCUAAUGGCAGAUCAUGGUGAGGAAAACUUGUUUUUGGCCAGCUUCGUGCUGAAUUCAAGAAGUGGAAUCAUCAUCUUAACAGUACAAAGACAUCCUUUUACAAUGCAAAAGAGUUGACCCAGAAAAAACAGAGGGAGGGAACCACCCGGC